CGAUUCCCUCAACGCAGAGACACUCCACUCGAGUUCUUUUCACUGCAGAGUAGGUAAGUCAUGAUGGAAUAUGUUUUAACUUCUACCAAGCCUAUGGGCAAUUUUGGGUUUCCUUCUCCCCAGCUUACCUUUUUGUUAAUUAAAACAUGAAUAAAUUCUGGCUCAUCAGAAUAGUUCAGCACCUAAUAUUUGUUCUCUCUGCUGGUUAAUAGGUGGAAAUGAAGAAGAAAUAACUAUCAGAGCCACUUCUUUUUCUGUUGAGGUGCAGAUGCUACUAGUAAUACCUUAGGAUGGUGGUGAUGCUCACACAGAGUCUAGGGUUAGUUGUGUAUCAUUGAGUGGAAGAUGAGCAUCAAUGAAAUGCAGUCAAGGGAGUGUAGAUUUACCAAUAAUGAUUAGAAAUAACUGGUCAUGUUCUUGGUGUCAGGUUUCCAAUAGGCUAUGAUGAUGAUGAUGAUGAUGAUGAUGAUGAUAAUUUAUUUAUAUCCUGCCCAUCUGGCUGAGUUUCCCCAGCCACUCUGGGCGGCUCCCAAUUAAGUGUUAAAAACAAUACAGCAUUAAAUAUUUUUUUUAAAAAACUUCCCUAAACAGGGCUGCCUUCAGAUGUCUUUUAAAAAUAGGAUAGCUGCUUAUUUCCUGGACAUCUGCUGGGAGGGUGUUCCACAGGGUGGGCGCCACUACCGAGAAGGCCCUCUGCCUGGUUCCCUGUAACCUCAAAUCUUGCAAUGAGGGAACCACCAGAAGGCCCUCAGCACUGGACCUCAGUGUCUGGGCUGAGCAAUGGGAGUGGAGACACUCCUUCAGGUAUACAGGACCAAGGCCAUUUAGGGCUUUAGAGGUCAGCACCAACACUUCAAAUUGUGCUCGGAAACAUACUGGGAUGGAACAUGUGCUCCAGUAACUUUUCUUAUUGUAUUUUUAAAAAUAGAUUGUAUUUAAUUAAGUUAUAUUGAAAAUAAGCCAAGUGAAAUGAAUGGACUUAAGGCAGGUGUAGCCUUUGGAUGCUUUGAACUACAAGCCCGGUUUCCUUGGCAAUUGGCCAAGGUGGCUUGGGUUAGUGGGAGCUGUAGUCCACAGCAUCAGAAGGACACCAUCCCAGACCUAAAUAGUCCCUGUUAAAUAAUCAGUGGAUCUAUGCUGAGUAGGACUAAGGUAGACUGAUGUUGGCUUUGUGGAGGAUAAUGGUAUCAGUGGCUACUGGCCACAAUGCCUAUAUUCAGCAUCCAUUGUCAAAGCCAAUAUACCUCUGUGUGCCAGCUGCUGGGAACCACAAAUGGAGUGAUUUGCUAUUGCACUCAGGUUCUCCUUUCCAGCUUCCAAUUGGCACCUGGUUGGCCACUAUAAGAGCAGGUUGCUGGAUGAGAAGGGCCAAUGGUCUGAAGCAACAGGGCUCUUCUUAUGUCCAUUACCUAAUUUGUUUCAUCAGUACUAUACAAUAUAGGGAUGUGGGUGGUGCUGUGGUCUAAAUCACUGAGGUUCUUGAGCUUGCCGAUCAGAAGGUUGUUCGAAUCCCUGCAAUGGGGUGAGCUCCCGUUGCUCUGUCCCAGCUCCUGCCAACCUAGCAGUUUGAAAGCACGCCAGUGCAAGUAGAUAAAUAGGUACUGCUAAGGUGUUUCUGUGUGCUCUGGUUUCCAUCACAAUGUCCCAUUGCACCAGAAUCGGUUUAGUUAUGCUGGCCACAUGACCCAGAAAGCUGCCUGUGGACAAACACUGGCUCCCUCGGCCUGAAAGUGAGAUGAGAGCCACAACCCCAUAGUUGUCUUUGACUAGACUUAACCAUCCAGGGGUUCUUUACUAUACAAUGUGGCCUUAACCCCUUAUUAGAUUGUUUGUUUUUUCACCUCUGAAGAUUUGCACAUACAUAAAUGUCUGUUGGUGAACCUGAACACUGUGAAAUUCAUUCAUUUCUUAAUCAUGUGUGCUUCAUCCAUUCCCUACUUGUAUGUGUCCCUUCAGAUCCACGAAACCAGUUCAGCCAAGAUGUCUGCACAAUAUAACCAAUGCUUCGCCAGCUGCCCUGCCUCCACCGUCACAAUUCAGCCACCUCCCUUUGUCCUCACCAUCCCCGGGCCAGCUCUGUACUGCCCUGACCAACCCUUUGGCAUUGAGCAAUGCAACCCUUGUGCUCGCAUGAUUUCCUACAAUGAAGGUGCAAGCCGUGGGGGGUACAACUCCCGCCUGAGUUCUGCAAGCAUCUAUUCGCAGAAAUUCCAGUCUGGAUGCCAGAGUGGAUGCAGCCCAUGCCAGAGAUUCUAAAUCCCAAAACCACUGUCCACAGAAUGUAUAUGACGAAGAAGACAGAGAAAGAAAUGAAUAUGUUACAUCCACUGAAUGUAUAGAUGUGCUUUCUAGAAAUGUAUGUUCAACUUGUACAACCCCUGAGUUGCAGGCCAGGGAUGAAAACUUCUAUCUUCAAGAACCUGUUUUUGCAUCUACUGGGAAACUCAUCCACACCUGUCAUCCACCGUACUGCAACACUUUGGACUCUGAGCCAUGUUCUAAGGGCAAGAAUAUCACGUGUGGCCUCACUCCUGCCCUGUUUGAGCUGAGAAAUGUGGCAUACAUGAAAUCCAGUGCUCCUCUGUAGCUACAGUAGUAGGGGAAAGGUGUGUGGGCAAGCCUUCACCAUAGAGACUUGUCCAUUGCUGCUCACCUUCUCAGUUCCAAAACAACCAUUGUAGGCUGUCUAUUAAAAUGUAGUGACAUUGUUUAACAGGCUUUUCAAAUAGUAAACUCUACUCAAUGUUUGCAGGUGUUAGUCCUCUGUGUUGUCACAGGUUGCUUCAUGUUACCUUAAAAAACACCACCACCACAUUUCAGUGUCCUCAUUGUCUUGUUAACCUGCCUUGCUAACCUAUGCACAUCAGUAUUCAAACUGUGGGAUUGUGUGUCUCUUCUCUUUCAAAAUAAAGCCUUUACUGCAUCAAAA